rnacentral:rRNA from 1 species
AGAGUUUGAUCAUGGCUCAGGAUGAACGCUAGCGGCAGGCUUAAUACAUGCAAGACGAACGGUAACUGUUGUAGCAAUACAAUAGCUAGAGUGUCGUACGGGUGCGUAACACGUAUGCAACCUACCUUGUACAGGAGGAUAGCUCGGGGAAACUCGAAUUAACCCUCCAUAACAUCAUGGAAUGGCAUCAUUUUAUGAUUAAAACUUCGGUGGUACAAGAUGGGCAUGCGUCUGAUUAGUUAGUUGGCGGUGUAACGGACCACCAAGACGAUGAUCAGUAGGGGACCUGAGAGGGUGAUCCCCCACACUGGCACUGAGAUACGGGCCAGACUCCUACGGGAGGCAGCAGUAGGGAAUAUUGGUCAAUGGGUGAGAGCCUGAACCAGCCAUGCCGCGUGCAGGAAGAAGGCGUUAUGCGUUGUAAACUGCUUUUGCCAGGGGAUAAAAUAACUGUGCGCAGUUGAUUGAAGGUACCUGGUGAAUAAGCCACGGCUAACUACGUGCCAGCAGCCGCGGUAAUACGUAGGUGGCAAGCGUUGUCCGGAUUUAUUGGGUUUAAAGGGUGUGUAGGUGGCUAUCUAAGUCAGUGGUGAAAUAUCUCAGCUUAACUGAGAGGGUGCCAUUGAUACUGGAUAGCUUGAGUACAGAUGAGGUAGGCGGAAUUGACGGUGUAGCGGUGAAAUGCAUAGAUAUCGUCAAGAACACCGAUAGCGAAGGCAGCUUACCAAGCUGUAACUGACACUGAGGCACGAAAGUGUGGGGAUCAAACAGGAUUAGAUACCCUGGUAGUCCACACUGUAAACGUUGAUGACUCGAUGUUGGCGAUACACAGCCAGCGUCCAAGAGCAAUCGUUAAGUCAUCCACCUGGGGAGUACGCCGGCAACGGUGAAACUCAAAGGAAUUGACGG